GUGUUACGUGAAAGGAGAGAAAGCUAGCACUCCCCUGUGCAAGGCUGGAAGAGGCCCUUGGAGCUGACAACAUGCAUACGGCCUAGAAUUUUCU
ensembl:snRNA